rnacentral:sRNA from 1 species
UACGUCGUGACUGCAGAGAUUGGUCGAGG